AGAGCGAACGCUGGCGGCAGGCCUAACACAUGCAAGUCGAACGGACCCUUCGGGGUUAGUGGCGGACGGGUGAGUAACACGUGGGAACGUGCCUUUUGGUUCGGAAUAGCUCCUGGAAACGGGUGGUAAUGCCGAAUGUGCCCUUCGGGGGAAAGAUUUAUCGCCAUUAGAGCGGCCCGCGUCUGAUUAGCUAGUUGGUGAGGUAAUGGCUCACCAAGGCGACGAUCAGUAGCUGGUCUGAGAGGAUGACCAGCCACAUUGGGACUGAGACACGGCCCAAACUCCUACGGGAGGCAGCAGUGGGGAAUCUUGCGCAAUGGGCGAAAGCCUGACGCAGCCAUGCCGCGUGAAUGAUGAAGGUCUUAGGAUUGUAAAAUUCUUUCACCGGGACGAUAAUGACGGUACCCGGAGAAGAAGCCCCGGCUAACUUGUGCCAGCAGCCGC
rnacentral:rRNA from 1 species